rnacentral:piRNA from 1 species
UGGACACAUGCAUGGAUGAUUGCCUGGAGU